rnacentral:lncRNA from 1 species
CGGAGCUGACGCCCCUCCCGCAGGGCGCCCCCGGCCCUCGCCCCCCGCGACCCUCCCCCGCCGCGCGGACCCCUCCCUCCGGCCGCCCCUAUUUUCUGGCUGCUCGUCCGCCUGUUUGCAGACAACGUCCUCUCGUGAUGGCCACUCCCCUGACAGCCCUCUCCUUGGCCUCCCUCCUCUUGCUCUAAAGCUGCUGCCGCAAGUACCCCUGGACUCCCGCAGGUGCUGGUCCAAGUCUCACGGACGGGCCAGGUGGGGGCUGGUAGGGUCGCAGCUGGGCCUCGAAGGAUCUGGAAACCCGAGACUCAGAGCCCAGUUCUGGAAAAGACUCAGGCUCAGAAUAAGCACUCGAUACAUGUGUAUUCCAGGACUUUUUUUACUUUGGUCAUACCCAAAUUGUCACACAUGUCCUCACAGCACAUCUGUCCCCACAUCUGGCUCUCCUGUCUGUCCAGGGCUUGGAGAUGAUUCUUGUCAAUGGAUUUUCUAUUCCAUUUUAUUGUGCGUUUUCAUCUUUUUUUUGAUAUAAGAUGACCCCGGCGACCCCAGCGAUCCCGACAACUGCUAUUAUCGCAGCAGGCCACACUGCAGAGCCCGUAGCCACUAUUUUUAGACAUGGAUAAGCCACCUUCUAUACGGGGGAAAAUGGGGCAGGGUGACCAGAGUGGCCCCACAGGAUGGAGAGAGUGAGAGGAUUGUGGGGUUCAGGGUCCCAGGCUGACCAGGGGGAAGGCACCAGAGAAAAGACAGGGACACUCGAGAUGGCCCCGUCUCCCAAGCUCAGUAGAAAGAAUGGGCCCCAGGACAGGUGUGGCUUUGCUCCACCAUCUGCAGUGACAGUCUGGUGGCAGUGACUUGGCUGCUCUGAGCCCUGCCUCCCCACUGGUCAUGGCGAUGGCGCCUUGAGGAGGCAGUAAGUGGACAGGUGAUGGCACCCACAGCAGGAUGGCUGCUGGCAACACUUCCAGGUGAGCCACGUGUGGGCUCCAGGGUCUGGGCGCCGGAGUCCCUCUGGCUCCUCAAGCACAGCUCUAGCCAGGCCUGGAGCCCCAGCAGGGAUGGAGGUGAGAGGUCCCACAGGGUCCCCCGAAGCUCCUGGC